GAAAGGCCGGCGUGCUACACAUGCAAGUCGAACGGGGUAUAUAAGCGGAAGUUUACGGAUGGAAGGUUAUAUACUUAGUGGCGGACGGGUGAGUAACGCGUGGGCAACCUGCCCCGUGCCGGGGGAUACCGCCUGGAAACAGGCGCUAAUACCGCAUAAGCGCAUACAGCCGCAUGGGUGUAUGCGGAAAGCUCCGGCGGCACGGGAUGGGCCCGCGCCCGAUUAGCCAGUUGGCGGGGUAACGGCCCACCAAAGCGACGAUCGGUAGCCGGCCUGAGAGGGCGGACGGCCACAUUGGGACUGAGACACGGCCCAAACUCCUACGGGAGGCAGCAGUGGGGAAUAUUGCACAAUGGGGGAAACCCUGAUGCAGCAACGCCGCGUGGGUGAAGGAGCGUUUCGGCGCGUAAAGCCCUGUCAGCGGGGAAGAAGAAAGACGGUACCCGACCAAGAAGCCCCGGCCAACUACGUGCCAGCAGCCGCGGUAAUACGUAGGGGGCGAGCGUUAUCCGGAAUUACUGGGUGUAAAGGGAGCGUAGACGGCGAGGUAAGCCUGAAGUGGAAGCCCGCGGCCCAACCGCGGAACUGCUUUGGGAACUGUUUUGCUGGAGUAUGGGAGGGGUAAGCGGAAUUCCUGGUGUAGCGGUGAAAUGCGUAGAUAUCAGGAGGAACACCGGUGGCGAAGGCGGCUUACUGGACCAUAACUGACGUUGAGGCUCGAAAGCGUGGGGAGCGAACAGGAUUAGAUACCCUGGUAGUCCACGCCGUAAACGAUGAUUACCAGGUGUCGGGUGUCGAAGGACGGCCGGUGCCGCAGCGAACGCAAUAAGUAAUCCACCUGGGGAGUACG
rnacentral:rRNA from 1 species